rnacentral:rRNA from 1 species
AGCAGCCGCGGUAAUUCCAGCUCCAAUAGCGUAUAUUAAAGUUGUUGCAGUUAAAAAGCUCGUAGUUGAAUUUCGAGACCGGUCUACUGGUCGUGCUUUUGUACGUACUGGUAUAAUCGGUUUCUCUCUUCUGACGAACUAUAAUGCCAUUAAUUUGGUGUUUUAGGGAAUCAGGACUGUUACUUUGAAAAAUUAGAGUGUUUAAAGCAGGCUCACGCUUGAAUACAUUAGCAUGGAAUAACGAAAUAGGACGUUUGAUUCUAUUUUGUUGGUUUCUAGGAUCGACGUAAUGAUUAAUAGGGAUAGUUGGGGGCAUUAGUAUUCAAUUGUCAGAGGUGAAAUUCUUGGAUUUAUUGAAGACUAACUACUGCGAAAGCAUUUGCCAAGGAUGUUUUCAUUAAUCAAGAACGAAAGUUAGGGGAUCGAAGACGAUCAGAUACCGUCGUAGUCUUAACCAUAAAUUAUGCCGACUAGGGAUCGGAUGAUGUUAAUUUUUUAAUGUACUCA